CGAAGAAGAAAAGAGAUUGGAUUAAGUUGGUUUAACGCCUUGGGUAGGCAUGAGUGUUCAUUAUCAUUUCUUCUUAGCCUCGAUAACUGAAACUCUAAAUUGACUCCACCUUCGAAGAUUAUCGAAUCCAUUCUCUCAAAUCCCCAUGAAUCCCACAAUCCAAUCUUCCUUCUCCCUCCAUUGUUGAAAUGCCUCGCCCUGAGCUUGGUUCUUCCCCUUCCUCCUCACACCAACCAUUUAAGCCUCACCGUUUCUCUCCCUCUACCGCCAAUUUCAACUUCUUUGUCCCCGCCGGCGGCUUGUUUCUCGACCCUUCUCUUCCAUCUUCUUUCCUCAAUUCAAUUUUCCCCAAGAGUAACUCAAUUCUAGAUUCCGGUUCUGUUUCUGUUCCCGCUUCUUCUUUCUGUCAUCAAGAACAACCUCUGUUUUUUGGGGUUUUUCGGUCCCGGAAGAACCCUCGCAUUGCGAGCUGCGGGUUUUUGUCUGUUAGUGUUAGAGGCCAUGGAUUUGUUCGGGAGCAGAAGGUUCAUGUUGAUGCCUAUGACACUUGUAAGAAGGCGGGAAAAUGUGGGGAAGAUUUUGCCAUUGUUGAGAAGAAGCAUACUGUACGGACAAGAGGUGCUAUGAAUACUACAAAGCACCUUUGGUCUGGUGCGAUUGCCGCCAUGGUUUCAAGAACUUUAGUUGCUCCACUCGAGAGGCUAAAGUUGGAAUAUAUAGUUCGUGGUGAGCAGAGAAAUCUAUGUGAUCUCGUCAAGAAAAUUGCAGCUUCUCAAGGGUUGAAAGGGUUCUGGAAGGGAAAUUUCGUCAAUAUUCUUCGAACAGCACCCUUUAAAGCAAUCAACUUUUAUGCUUACGAUACGUACAGAAAACAACUGCUUAAAUUGUCUGGACACAAGAAUACCACAAAUUUUGAGAGAUUUGUUGCUGGUGCUGCAGCAGGCAUUACUGCAACCGUACUCUGCCUACCACUUGACACAAUCCGAACGAAGAUAGUGGCACCUGGUGGGGAGGCUUUAGGCGGUGUUAUUGGUGCUUUUCGCCACGUGAUCCAAACUGAAGGGUUCUUUUCUCUUUACAAGGGCUUACUACCCUCCAUUUUAAGUGUGGCACCUUCUGGUGCUGUUUUCUAUAGUGUCUACGAUAUACUCAAGACUGCUUAUCUUCACUCACCCGAAGGAAGGAAAAGAAUCCAGAAUAUGAACCAGCAUCAGCAGGGGCAGGAGUUGAAUGCUCUGGAUCAAUUGGAGUUGGGACCUAUUAGGACUUUACUUUAUGGUGCUAUAUCUGGUGCUUGUGCUGAAUUAGUGACGUACCCAUUUGAAGUAAUCAGGAAGCAACUUCAAAUGCAAGUCCAGGCAACUAGAAUGAGUGCUUUUGCAACCUGUUCUAAGAUAGUUCAGCAAAGAGGAAUACCAGCUUUAUAUGCAGGACUUCUUCCCAGCUUGUUACAGGUACUUCCUUCAGCUGCCAUAAGUUUUUUCGUUUAUGAGUUCAUGAAGAUUAUUCUUAAAGUGGAAUGAACGACGACAACAAAAUUUAGUAGGAGACUGAUCAGUUAGCCCGACACAAUUCACAGUUAAGCAUCAGAAAUGCCCUUGAAACAUAAUCACAUUAUGGUAAUCAAUGAUUGCUUUUGCUGCUGGUUGUGUUUCGCUAUUAAUUCUUUCACUUAAAGAAAUACAAUUUCUUCCUCAAUGUCCCCAAAUCCCUUUAUUUCCUUUUCCUUUUUCUUAUUUUCUUUUCCCCCCAUAGGACUGAGUGCUGAUCAUAAAGCAUAUUCAUCAUUGUUAAGUUUUGACUGCUACAGGAGCUUCGUUUUUAAAAGAAUGUUCCACACAAUCCAACUUUCAUAUUCAUUCUAGCCUGUAGGUGCUGGUUGGCUGCCAAACUUGAACUUAUGCAGUUUAAUGUCAAAAAGUCACAGCUGCGGAAUAAAAAGAAAGAAUAAGCUGAUGAAGCACGUUGGAUUGUAGGUGUUUACCGUUCGAAUCCUUUUCUCCAUACUACUAAGAAAAUUACAUUUUUAGUAUUUAAAAUACUACGAUUGUUUAACCAGUAAUCACCAACUGCAAAGUAAAGUUCCAUACAUGAGGUGGACUAGUUGAGACCUCCCUUAUUCACAUGAUUAGAUGAUUUGAUCUAAUUCUUGAUUUGGUGGA